ensembl:lncRNA C2orf27A chromosome 2 open reading frame 27A
GAGACUGCAGUUCCUGCGACGCCCCUGCAGCAGCAGCAGCGUGGUCAGAGCGAGCUUCUGAGCGGUGGUGGGUUCCAUGUGAUGGUGGAGUAGGAGACAGGUCUCCGCGGUUCAUCUGCGUUGCUCUAAAUGGGACUGUUUCAUUAUUUUGAUGGCUGAAGAAUAUUUCCUAGUGUAUGUAUAUGAGAGUUUCUUGAUCUCUUUAUCUGUGGAUGAACAGGCUAGUCACGCUGCUGUGGAAUAGAAGGCCAGAAUUGAUCACUAUCAUCUGAGAGUAACUUUGUACCCAUCACUGAUUCCUUCCGAGACUGCCUCCACUUCCCCAGCAGCCUCUGAUUUCUUCAUGUGGCUGCAGAUGGCAGGAUUUCCCAAAGGUUUAUGGCUGCAACAUAUUCCGUGGUGUAUCUGUACAGCAGUUUCCUCAUUCCUGCAGCUGUGUUUGAACAGGUCAUUUACCAUGCGGUCCUCCAGGUUCAACAGUAUGGCUCCAAAUGAUGAAAUUUCAUUCUGAUUUUCUGGCUGAAGACUAUUCUGUUUGUGUAUGUCCACCACAGUUACUUUAUCCCUUCAUCUGUGGAUGGGCAGAAUGAAACAUAUAUGGAAAUGUUCUGUGCAAUAAAAACAGCAGUGGUAACACAGAUGUAGGCUCUGAGUGUCUCACUGGAGACUGAAGUCCACAGAUAUGCAACAAAGCCUUUGUCUCCCUGAUGUUUUUGCCUCCUGCUGGUCAUGUGCUUUCACACAUCAAGAGAGGACAUUUAACAUUUGAGCCACAGUGUCAUUUGCUGUUGUCUGAUGGGAAACUCCAAACUGUCCAAGGGAUAGUUCUGUUGUGAUUACUUCAUUGAGAAAUUUAACUUAUGAGCAGUUGAAAGGAAUGCAAGUUGCUGGAAAAUCAGAAUGAAGAGUGCAAAAUGACCAAGCUACAAUGUAUUGUCAUUAUUCACUCUGAUGUGAAAAAGGCAGUGAAUUCAAUAGAAAAUAACUUUGCAGAAUAAAAUCUCAGGUGUGUUUUUUUAGUGCCACAGUCUUGGAUGAUGGGCUUCUAGAUGUUGAGUCCUAGAAGCUCUCAACAUCUCUUCUUAAUUGGAGAAAGUGUUAAGCCCCAAAGUAGCUGGAGCAGUACAUCUUCAAUUUUUGACAAGAAAGCAGGAACUUGGUUACUUUGAGUGUUAUUCAUUAGUUUCUGCUUUCAUUGAGAAUGCAGCAAAAGCCAACGAGGCUGCUGCUAACUCCUUGCUGGACAUCUUCUGCCACUAUCACAGGAACUGUGAUCUCACUGGACAAUUAACUAGGGAGCCUUUCAUCUUGAAUGACUGCUGCACAAAUGAUCUUCAAAGCAUUUUAGCCACCAGAGGAAUUCUCUUCAAAUACCCAAAAUCCAUCAGUAUCUUGAAUCAUGCUGGAUUUUGAAGAAUUCUUAACAAGCCAUGUAAAGGGGGCUCUCUGGCCUUGAAAUAGUGAUGUUUUUUAUACAGAAAGGAGAAUGCCGAAUGUUCAGACUACCAUGCACUGUUAAAUUUGAUUUCAAGAAAUUACAGGAAAACUUUCCAAAGUUCCGUCUCACAGAAUUUAUUUUUACAAAGAAUUCCAAGAUAAGUUUAGUUUUAUGGAAGAUUUUUAUGUGGUUUUUACUCACUCUUCAUCUCAGACAUCAACCGAUGAUUACAUCACUUAUUUAGCUAGUAAAUUUAUUAAUAUAAAACUCAGAGACAUUCCAAUAUCCACAUUGCUUACAUCAUCAGGCAUAGAUUCAAUGUCAGCUAUGACAAUUGAAAAUAAGCUGUUUUGUGAUUUAAAGGUUUAAAUUUCUCUAACCAAACAGCUUGAUCCAGAUGCAGCACUGCAAAUGUUAAUAUUUGUUCUGGAAGAGCAAUCAAAUAAGACUUAAGAGGAAAAGGAAUGGCCACAAUCCACCUGAAAUUUUUUUUAAAAAAGUAUGCAGCCUACUAAAUCAGAAUGAAAAUAGAAGUACAAGAUUAUAAACAAAAUGCAAUCAAACUUUUCUUAAGCUUACCUAAAGUUAUUUUAUCUGAAAAUUUCAAGCAACUUUGAUCAACAUUAAAUUGACAAUCUAAACUAACAAGUCUUUUGAAUUUAUGUAUGGUAGUAAACAUUCUCUCUAUUAAUUUUAUUACCUAAGGCUAAACCUAAAAUUUUUAAGCAAAAUUAGAAAGUCUUCACUUAUCAAAAAAUAAAGUUUGUUACAUUUAGUAUUUUCCCAAUAAAAUUGGUCAUUCUUGGUUUUUUAUUUGGAGAAUCUGUGCAAAAUUUCACUGAAAAUAAAUUAGAACUAGAAAUUAUUUCUAAAUACCAAAAAAAAAAUGAAGAAUGGUUUCACAAAGAAAAAAAGAAAACUUGCUUAAUUAGCAGAGUAUCAUCUCUGUGAUUUUUGUGAUUAUUUGAUCAGUGUCCUGAGAUGGAUACAAUGGCAAGUAAUGACAAAAUUAAAAUAAGCAUGCAGAUUUUUUUAAAUUAAGUGCCAAAAAAUAAUUGGUCAUGCAAAGCCCUUAAAAAUAUUGUGGCCUAAUUCUAAAGUUUUUUGCUACUAUGCUACAUCACACGCAACAUCAGUUAAGUGCUCAUUCUGUGACAGGUAGUACAUUACAUUUUAGCAAACUACACAAGACCCCUAUGUGAUAAUAUGCUUCAGGGUUGUAAGGUUGGGUGCAUUUACUAGUCUUGAAUUUUCUGGGAGUAUACAAACCCAAUAUUAGUCUAGAUGCCCACAAAUCUAUUUAGACGUCACAGUAGAAUGGAGAGUAAUCUUGACCACAGGAAGCUGUGUUGUGGCAUUUAUUUUGAAAUUAUUUUUUCUUGAUUUUUUUGCCUUUUGUUUUGUGAGUUUUAUAAUGUACAGAAUAUUUUUAAAUUAUUAUAUAUAUCAACUAAUUAGUCUUCAUUUAAACUUACGCCUCUGGGGUCUUACUUGGGUUUCUCCUAACAAUAUUAUACACAUAUUUGCAAUAAUUUCUCUCAUACUGCUUUUAACUCAUUUAAUUUUUCAACUUUUUAAGAAUAACAAAAGUGAUAUUAAUUGUAAAAAUGCUGAAGUGACAUAUGAAUUUAUGAAGUGCAUAUGUAUUUUUUAGUUUACCAAUGAGAUGGGAGAAAUGCUGUCUUAUAUUUUAACAUACAUUUUGGCCAUUACACAGAUGAAGCAACUUUUCAUUUGUUAAUACAUAAUGCAUACUUUUUCUUCUGUGCAAUUCCUCUUUGUAUUCUUUGCUCAUUUUCCCACUGGGAUUUGCAAGUUCUUUAUUAUUUGAUAAUCUCUAUACAUUCUGAAUAUCAAUUUUUUGUUAUAUAUACCAUGUAAAUAUUUUCUUCUAAUUUGUUAUUUGUCUUUUAAUGGUAUUUAUCAAUUGUUUGCUAAAAAUGAGUUUGUUUAGUUAGUAAAAUUUGUCUAUCUUUAACUUCAUGAUAUUUGUAUAUCAUGUCAUGAGGAAAAGGCAUGAAUAUUUUAAAAACUUCCUUGUAGUGUUAAUUUUAUUUUUUAUUUCAUUCUUUAAGUUAUUUGAAAUUUAUUGUUUAUUUCUUCAAAUUCCAAAUAAUAACCAACUUUCUCAAAGCAAUACUUCUUUCUACUGAUUUCAAACGUUACAUUUGUCUUCUCUGAAGUUCUUGUUUUUUUGAUACCUGACUGUCACACUACUGCUGUGGAUGUGCUUCAUACCAUCACAGUACUGCAGGGUUAUAAGAUUAUCUGA